rnacentral:rRNA from 1 species
AUGAAACCACGAAGCAAAAAAAGCGCGGCUUUGAUGGAUCCAGCGACGACGAUGGCCCGGCCGCGCCAGAAGUCGCGGCAGUCCGGCUCUGGCCUGGCUCGUCCGCGCAAGAAGUCGCGGCAGUCCGGCUCUGCUCGUGUUGGGCAACCGAAACAGAGGGAUGCACUCAAGGAGCAGAUGUUACCUGCUAGAGGAUAUGAGUUGCCGGUGACCAAAAACCCGUCGGUGCAGUUCGAUGUAGUAGGGCCGACGGGGCAUCCUGGCUCCAGCAGCCUGGCAGCGCUCGCCGUCGGGCUCGCGAGGCGCCUUGCCGAUGGGAGCGCGGACGACAACCUAGUCUUCUCGCCGCUGUCCAUCUACACCGCUCUGGCGCUCCUGGCCGCGGGCGCCCGGGAUGCCACACUGGACGAGAUCCUCGGCGUGCUCGGCGCACGGUCGCGCAGCGAGCUCGAGAACUUCGUGUCACACAUGGCGGCGGACGCACUCCAAGACAGGUCCGCCUCGGGCGGCCCCUGCAUAGCAUUCGCGUGUGGCAUCUGGAGCGACCUGACGCGGCGUCUGAAGCCGGCCUUCCGUGAGGCCGUCGUGGGCACGUACAAGGCCGAGGCCAGCACCGUCGACUUCCGCGGCGCUCCGGAGGCGGCACGGAAGCAGAUCAACGCGUGGGCGGCUCAGGUGACGAGGAACCUCAUCGACUCGGUCCUCCCGGCGGGGUCGAUAAGCCGGGCGACCCAGGUCGUGCUCGGCAACGCCAUGUACUUCAAGGGCAAGUGGCAGGACCAGCCGUUCGACAAGAGGUACACCGCACACAAGCCCUUCCACCGGCUCGACCACAGCCAGGUCGACGUGCCCUUCAUGCAGAGCUGGAAGUCACAGUUCGUCGCCGUGCACGACGGGUUCAAGUUCUCGAUGUGCAUCUUCCUCCCGGACGCCCACGAUGGCCUGCUGGGGCUUCUGGACACGAUAGCGUCCCGGCAUGGGUUCCUGCAGGACCACCUGCCGCGGCAGCGGAUCGCCCUCGGCGAGUUUCGGGUGCCAAAGUUCAAGCUGUCCUUCCACAGCAGCGUCGUCGCCAUCCUCAAGAAGCUGGGGCUCGCGCUGCCAUUCUGCCUGGAAGGCGACCUAUCUGACAUGGUGGAGGACGACGGCUCUGGCUUGCCGAUUGUAGUGGAGGAUGUCAUCCACAAGGCCGUCGUCGAGGUAAAUGAGGAAGGUACUGAAGCCGCCGCCGCUACUAUGGUCAGGAAGGGUAUUGGAUGCGCACCAAGGGGGAGGAGGCCGCCGCCUCCAGAAGUGGAUUUCAUUGCCGAUCAUCCGUUUGCUUACUACAUGGUGGAGGAGGCGACCGGCGCAGUUGUCUUUGCGGGGCAUGUCCUCGACCCCUCCAAGGAGUAA